ACAGCACAAUGUUAAAGCCAAAGGUAGAGACCACCCUUGGCCAGUGAACUUCUGAGUGUCGGAAGUGUGCUAAGUUGAAUAGGCAGUCGGAUUUUCACUGACGCCAGUGGACUGGACUCUGACUGAAGCAUGAUAGUGGCCAUUGCCACAUCC
ensembl:snoRNA SNORA62 Small nucleolar RNA SNORA62/SNORA6 family